AGUAAGGGGUAGGGAUCCGCCUUUAAGUGGGGGAUUGCCCAAAGAAAUGCGGAUUAAUACGGCAUGUGGAACUUCGGUUCUAAAGAUGGCCUCUGUUUCAAGCUAUCGCUUAGGAGAUGAGCCUGCGUCCUAUUAGGCUAGUUGGUAAGGUAAAUGCGCUUCCCAAAGGCGAUGAUAGGUAGGCGGCUUUAACGAGUGGUUCGCCCCACACUGGGAUUGAGAUACGGCCCAGACUCCUACGGGAGGGCAGCAGUCGAGAAUAGUCUACAAUGGAGGAAUCUCUGAUAGUGGCGACGCCGCGUGGAUGAAGAAGCAUUUCGGUGUGUAAAAUCCUUUUCUUUGUGAGCAAUGCCUGUAUGAUUAAUAGUUUUACAGGAGAGAUAUUAGCAAAGGAAUAAGCUCCGGCUAACUCCGUGCCAGCAGCCGCGGUAACACGGGGGGAGCAAGCGUUGUCCGGAAUUACUAGGCGUAAAGGGCAAGUAGGCGGAAUUGUAAGUCAGAUGUUAAAGGCACCGGCUCAACCGGUGUACGGCAUUUGAUACUGUGAUUCUAGAGUAAGGUGGGGGAAGAUGGAAUUCCUGGUGUAGCGGUGGAAUGCGCAGAUAUCAGGAAGAACACCAGAGGCGAAGGCGAUCUUCUAUACCAUUACUGACGCUAAAUUGCGAAGGUGUGGGUAUCAAACAGGAUUAGAUACCCUGGUAGUCCACACAGUAAACGAUAUACACUAGGUGUUGGGGGAGAUGAUCUUUCAGUGCCGUAGCUAAC
rnacentral:rRNA from 1 species